rnacentral:lncRNA from 1 species
UCCUAGUAGUCUACACGUCUCAAUACACCUGCUUAAAUGUAUGUUUUUCUAUCAACAGUUAAACUUAACAUUUUGUUAACAAAAAGUAAGUUUCAUUUUCAAAAUAUUUUGAAAUCUCUCCAGUAGGUUGAGUUCAAAAAAUCCCAGGGGUGGGGAGGUGGAGAGCCAAAGGCCUCCUGCAAGCAUCACAGAUAAUACAGGUUCUGAAGGAAAAGACAAC